rnacentral:rRNA from 1 species
GACGAACGCUGGCGGCGCGCUUAACACAUGCAAGUCGAGCGAGAACCAGGGCUUCGGCCCUGGGGACAGCGGCGAACGGGUGAGUAACACGUGGGUAAUCUGCCCUCGGCACCGGAAUAGCCCGGGGAAACCCGGAUUAAUGCCGGAUGGCCCCUUCACCUCGCGAGGUGUCGGGAAAAGGUAGCUUCGGCCUCUGGCCGAGGAUGAGCCCGCGGCGGAUUAGCUUGUUGGCGGGGUAACGGCCCACCAAGGCGACGAUCCGUAGCUGGUCUGAGAGGACGAUCAGCCACACUGGGACUGAGACACGGCCCAGACUCCUACGGGGGGCAGCAGUGAGGAAUCUUGCGCAAUGGGCGAAAGCCAGACGCAGCGACGCCGCGUGAGGGAAGAAGGCCUUCGGGUUGUAAACCUCUUUCAGGAGGGACGAAGCUACUCGGGUGAAUAGCCCAGAGGGUGACGGUACCUCCAGAAGAAGCCCCGGCUAACUACGUGCCAGCCGCCGCCGUAA